CCUACGGGUGGCAGCAGUGAGGAAUAUUGGUCAAUGGCCGGAAGGCUGAACCAGCCAUGCCGCGUGAAGGUCAGUGCCCUAUGGGCGUUACACUUCUUUUGUGCGGGAGCAAUAAUGGUCACGUGUGGCCAGACGAGAGUACCGUACGAAUAAGCAUCGGCUAACUCCGUGCCAGCAGCCGCGGUAAUACGGGGGAUGCAAGCGUUAUCCGUAUUUUUUGGGUUUAAAGGGUGCGUAGGCUGGGAGGUAAGUCAGCGGUGAAAUGCCCCCGCGCAACGGGGUGAAUGGCCAUUGAUACUGCCUUGCUGGAAUGCAGAUGCCGUGGGAGGAAGGUGUGGGGUAGCGGUGAAAUGCAUAGAUAUCACACAGAACACCGAUUGCGAAGGCAGCUCACGAAUCCGCGACUGACGCUGAUGCACGAAAGCGUGGGUAUCAAACAGGAUUAGAUACCCGUGUAGUC
rnacentral:rRNA from 1 species